CACGUAGGGUGCGAGCGUUGUCCGGAAUUAUUGGGCGUCAAGAGCUCGUAGGCGGUGUGUCGCGUCGGCCGUGAAAACCUGCAGCUUAACUGUGGGCUUGCGGUCGAUACGGGCAUCACUGGAGUUCGGCAGGGGAGACUGGAAUUCCUGGUGUAGCGGUGAAAUGCGCAGAUAUCAGGAGGAACACCGGUGGCGAAGGCGGGACUCUGGGCCGAUACUGACGCUGAGGAGCGAAAGCGUGGGGAGCAAACAGG
rnacentral:rRNA from 1 species